GCAAGUCGAGCGACGGACCCACUUCGGUGGGGGACCGAGCGGCAAACGGGUGAGUAACACACUGGUAACCUACCUUCGAGACAGGGAUAGCCUCGGGAAACCGAGAUUAAUACCUGAUAGUCAUGGGGGGACAUAUGUCAUUCCCAUGUAAAUCAUUUUUGGCUCGAAGAGGGGCCUAUGGCCGAUUAGUUUGUUGGUAGGGUAAUGGCCUACCAAGACUGUGAUCGGUAGCAGGCGUGAGAGCGUGACC
rnacentral:rRNA from 1 species